rnacentral:rRNA from 1 species
UACGUAGGGGGCUAGCGUUGUCCGGAAUCAUUGGGCGUAAAGCGCGUGUAGGCGGUCCGAUAAGUCCGCUGUGAAAGUCGAGGGCUCAACCCUCGAAUGCCGGUGGAUACUGUCGGGCUUGAGUACGGGAGAGGCGAGUGGAAUUCCUGGUGUAGCGGUGAAAUGCGCAGAUAUCAGGAGGAACACCAAUGGCGAAGGCAGCUCGCUGGGACGGUACUGACGCUGAGGCGCGAAAGCCAGGGGAGCAAACGGG